rnacentral:rRNA from 1 species
AGCGAACGCUGGCGGCAGGCCUACACAUGCAAGUCGAACGAAGUCCUCGGACUUAGUGGCGGACGGGUGAGUAACACGUGGGAACGUGCCUUUAGGUUCGGAAUAACUCAGGGAAACUUGUGCCAAUACCGAAUGUGCCCUUUGGGGGAAAGAUUUAUCGCCUUUAGAACGGCCCGCGUCGGAUUAGGUAGUUGGUGAGGUAAAGGCUGACCAAGGCGACGAUCAGUAGCUGGUCUGAGAGGAUGACCAGCCACAUUGGGACUGAGACACGGCCCAAACUCCUACGGGAGGCAGCAGUGGGGAAUCUUGCGCAAUGGGCGAAAGCCUGACGCAGCCAUGCCGCGUGGAUGAUGAAGGUCUUAGGAUUGUAAAAUCCUUUCACCGGUGAAGAUAAUGACUGUAGCCGGAGAAGAAGCCCCGGCUAACUUCGUGCCAGCCGCCGCAGUAAUAC